UUUCUUUCUUUCCUUGAUAUUACGCCGUAAUGCUCUCCCUCUGAAAGCUCCUCCCCUGCUCCAAUGGCGACGAAACGAAGGAGCUUCAACGACGCCACACCGGUAAGUUUCCUUUACUCCCUUUCUCGUUUUUGUUUAUUUGUUGUUUUAAGAAACAAAAGAAAAAAAAACAAAAUAAAAUAAAAACAGUAAAAAGAACAGAAGAAACAAAGCCAAAAUCUGUCACCUUCAAAAAUGUUUUUUUCGUCUAUUUUCUUUUCGAUUUCGGUACAAAAAUUUGCUCCCCAUUACAGAGAUUGAUUGGCCUUUUUAUAGCCGAAACAACGGAGAAAGAAACUAUCGAAAAAAACUCUCCUCUUUUUGUCGUAAUUUCUGCUAUUAUUUCUAUUCGUGCUUCAUGCCUUGUUGCAGGUACGGGCAUCGUGCGAAGCUACCAGACGUGGGUGAGACGACGUGGGCAGUUGCUAUGCGUUCGUGCGUGAAGACGAUUGCUGCAACGUGGGGGCGAGGGUGACGCCGAUCCGCUGCUUAUUGCCAAAGGUUUCUGCUGUUCAUUUUUUUUUUGUGUUUUAGGCUAGUGGGUUAGGUAUUUGGGUUGUUUGGGUAUUGGGCUUGUAAUUUGGUUAUUGGGUCAGGGUGCUAUUGGGUUUAAAACUGGGUUUAGUAAUAGGCUAUUAUAUAUUUUUUAGCCAGGCCAAAAUUGACCUAUUACAUUAUUUUAACAAAAUAGUCUGAUAUUACAAUUUUAUUUCUCCAUUAUAAAUCAUUUCUCAGUUUUAAAAAUUUCGGUCACUAAAAUUAUUUGGUUUAUGUCCGAGGUAUUUUUGAGUCGUUGGUGAUGCGAUAUCGCUUCGAGCCGCACACAUUUCAUAUAUCACGUCGAGAUGGGAUCAUUUCAUACAAAAUUACCGUCGUAGUAUAUAAUGGAUUUCACUCGUCGACUCAUUUCAGUAUCGAUCACGCAUUGGAUGAAUAAAUGCAAAAAAAUAAGUGGAAAGUUAUCCAAAGGAGUACACACAACUCUCACAACACAAUGUUCUUUUGUUUGAUAUUAACUUGAUACGUGUCUAUGUUAUGAAAAUUACGCCUCUUUUAUAAGAGAAUUAUGUAGGGAGAAAGAGAAUACAUGUUUUGAAUUUCGUUUGCGAAUGCAUACAUUCGUUGCAUAUUGUAUUGUGCAAAUAAUUUUUAGAAAGCGUUCAAAAGUCAUAAUUACAUCACACCUGUGCUCCUGAGAGAUUUUGUGCUACAUAACAUGCUUUACAGGUAUUUGAAAAAGUACUUUCACUCUUAAAAGAAAGGAGAUUUGUUAGAGAAAGCUCAUCCAUUUGGGUGAGCUUUCUCUAACAAAUGUUCUAUUCCCCGGGGUGAAAAGCCUAAUGUUUCAAAUAAUUCGAACGCUUUAAACACGUUUAGAAUAUGUUCAUCACUCCUGUAGCAUGCUUUCAAGGUUUUUCUUUGCAAACAGACUCUUCCUUACGGCUAUGAAAGGGCUCAUACACACCAAGCUUUAUCAUCCUUGAAUCAUAUAAUUUCUCCCCAAUCAUCUCCAUUUCUCCACUAUAAACCAUUUCUCAGUUUUAAAAAUUUCGGUCACUAAAAUUAUUUGGUUUAUGUCUGAGGUAUUCUUGAGUCGUUGGUGAUGCGAUAUCGCUUCGAGCCGCACACAUUUCAUAUAUCAAGUCGAGAUGGGAUCAUUGUCUUCGAAGCCUAUCCUAGGGAAGU
rnacentral:lncRNA from 1 species